GAGGAUUUGAACUUGCCCCAAACACGGAAAGUGUAUCAUUAAAAAAAAAAAAAAAUAGAGCAACCAAAUUCCCAUGACUUUCCCCACCACCUCCUCUCUUUCCCUACUCUAGAUCAGAAGUUCAUGCCUGGAGUUUGAAACUUGGAAAGAAGACGUUAAAAUAAAGAACUCCAGAAAAUAACGCAGGUUGUGCCUUCGGCACGGUCGAGGCUUCCAUCCUUGGAGUCAGCGCAUCCUCGGAGCCCGGGCCAGUGACCCGCAUAGUAGGGGCUCAGUAAAAAUGGACUAGCUAGUGGAAAGAGAUGGAACAGGCAGCAAUAUGAAGUUCAAAGCCUCGGCUCACACCUGAUUCUCCCAGGGAGGGCUGCCUGAGCCCCAGAACCGAACCCCCCUGCUUAAUGCAGGGGGCGACCACCAUCCACCAUGCUCUGCAGAACCGCAGCCUGGAUGGGGGUCUUCAAAGCACGACUGCCGAUAGAUCAAGCGUCCUCUCCACCAGGACAGCACCCACCCCCCACUCACCUCCCCAAAUAAACCUGCGUAAUGAAGACAGAUGGCCUCGCUCAGCACCGCCGUGUGCAGGUGGGGCCGGGGCGGCCCGAGGCCACUCACCCCACCCUGGAGUGGGGCCUGGGGUGUCACCAGGACGGAGACCAGCCUGCACCCCCUUCAUCACCGCCCCCCGCCGGGGGCAGCAUCCCUAUGUGAUAAGCCGGGUUUCAUCUUUGCAUGCCGCCCUCUACAAAUACCCAGCUCAAAGCCAGUAGCCCCGACUCCCGCCUGUAGGUAUGGUAAAGUCAUUCAUAAGGACAGAAACCUCUGACAGCUCCACUCCCCCAGAGCAGCACAGGGCGCUGCCUCCCCCUGUCCUGUGAACGGUUCUGCUUGGACGUCCUGUAGGUUUACCAAUAACACUCUCUCAGAUUCUAAGCUGUGAAACAUCAGUCUUCAGUUUGCAGUUCUUCCAGAAACCAAUGGUGAGGACAUUUUGAUGGGGCCUCAGUUUUCUCAUGUGUAAAAUGUAAACAAUAAGUCUCCUUGGUUGGUUGGGAAGAUUAAUUGGGAUGAUCCAUGUGGAGGUUAGUAAAAGUAGGUGCUUGGUGCAUUUUAGCUAUCAGGAUUAGAGGAUUACUAUUAGCAUUCUUUCCUAAGUACUCGAGGCAAACACAAGAAAGCUUUUGCUUGGCCUAUGGCUGUGGUUGACCAGGAAAGGUGGGGAGCAAGUUGGGAGCAGUCACUGAACAGACUCCAACCACAUGGCAUGGAUUGUAUUCUGACUCCCAAGUUUGCAAAUGGUAUCCUUCCCAUUCUCUCUGACAACCACAAAAGAUAAAACCCACUCAGCCAACAUCCACUCCUAUGGUCUCCAAAAUGUUAAAUCCUAGACUUUAUCAUGAAUGCAAAUAAUUAUGAGAACCACAGUGAAAACAGUGUUGUGAGGAGAGGUGCUUGAGCACAGAUCCUGACUUCAGUGCUUACUGGGUGUAUCAGUUAGCUUUUGACAUGAGAGUGCUGCGUAACAAACAACCAUAGAACCUCAGCAUCAUGAGAAUGCUAAGUAUGUCUUGCUUGUGCAUCUCGAAUGAGCUGGGGUUCAGCUGGGCAGCUCUGCUGAACUUGGCUGGAUUCACUCCUGUUCUGGGAUCGGCAGUGGGGCUGAUCUAUGCUGAAUGUUCCUGGGACAAAAGGACGCCCACUCAGCUGCACUUGCUUCUCAUCUCCAGCAGGCCAGCUCAGGCAUGUCCUUGUGGCCAUGGCAACAUCGCCAAAGAGCCCGCCCCAGUGCGAGGCCACUUAUUAAACCCCCUUCCCGCAUGGUGACCAACGCAAGUACGUGGCUGAGGCCAAAGUCCAGGGGUGGAGCCUGUUGCCCUGCCCAUGGGGUCAGAGCUCUCCACAGUUACAGGGCAAAUGCAAAAAUGUAGGAAGGGGUGAAGAACUACCACUGACGCCAUCUGCCAGCCCAGGUGUGUGAUAUCUCAGACCCAGUUUGUUCAUCUACGACUGGGGAACCAUUCUCUAUCUCACCUAUCUGGUGAGAGGUUUAGAUUAGAGAGAGUGUCAAGGGCAGAUGUUAUAGGACCUGACGCAAAAGAGAUGUCCGACUGGGGGCAGCCCUUCCUUUAUUAAUGAUAAUGAUUCAUGGAUAAUGAUGAUUGUGGAUUCACAUUCCACAGCUGAGGACCUAGCUUUCCCUAUUCUUCCUUCCUAAAGGGAACAGAUCAGUCUCUGUGUUCUGUAUUUCCUGCAGUGUGAAGCUUCGCCUUUUGUUUUAAUAGCACUUUUUAAAGAGCAAAUGUUUUUAGGUUUGAAUUUUAUCCAUUUGUUUACUUAGUGCAUCUUCUAUCAUAUCUAAGAAAACCUUACUUCAUGAAGAUAUAUUUCUUAUACUUUUUUUUUAGAAGUUUUAUAGUCUUAGCUCUUGCAUUUAGACUUUUGGUAGAUUUAAAAUUAAUUUUUGUAUAUGGUGUGAGGUAGGGGUUGGAGUUCAUUUUUUCCCUACAUGACUAUCUGGUUGCUCUGCGCGUUCCUUUCCGGUUCUUACUGGCUAAGUGUUGGAUUCUAUCAAAUGCUUCUUCCAUACCACAUCACACAUUGAAAUACUAAUAAGCAUGAAUUGCAGAAAUAGAUUGAUAAUAGCCACCAGGACUAUGAACGGGAAUGGAAAGAGGACUCAUUCCUCUGGGUUGGUUUACUACCUCCAUAGCUAGAGGCAUGUGACAGACAGCCACAGGCAAGUCUUCCUCUCCACCCAGAUAAUCACCUUUCCAGCCUCUUACUGCCAGCAGUGAGCACAUGACCCAGUUUGGGCCAAUGGCGCAUGAGAGAAAACAUGCUGUGAGACUCCUGGAAAAGAGGUUUUCUCUCCAGUGAAAGGAGAGAGGUCACUUGUCCAUCUUCCUGCCUUUGGAGGAAGUCCUAUGAAGACAUGAUGUUUAAGGAAACCCCUGCUGACUUGUAACAAUGCGGGGAAGACCACGAGAACUUCAGAGAUGCUAAGCAUUACUGGGAAACUCAUUCCAU
ensembl:lncRNA